GCUGGUCCUCAAAUGGGGAAUGUGCACGCUCUGUUCGCACAUCCACUCACACCUGUGCACUCUCCAUAGUUCUGCAGCCUGGGGGCUCUGUUCCCCCUGCCGUGGUUCUAUGCAUUUACACACACACACUGUAGUAAAGUCUCAUGGAAUGUAUACCGCGUUUAACGCAAUACAAUACAACUUUCAGCAACGGAUCUCUUGGCUCUCGCAUCGAUGAAGAACGCAGCGAAAUGCGAUAAGUAAUGUGAAUUGCAGAAUUCAGUGAAUCAUCGAAUCUUUGAACGCACCUUGCGCCCUUUGGCUAUUCCGAAGGGCAUGCCUGUUUGAGUAUCAUGAACACCUCAACUCUCAUGGCUUGCCAUGAUGAGCUUGGACUUUUUGGGGGUCUUGCUGGCCUGUGGUCAGCUCCUCUCAAUGAAUUAGCUUGCAGUGUUUGGUGGCAUCACAGGUGUGAUAACUAUCUACGCUUGUGGUUUCCGCUAGUAACCUUCAGUGAUG
rnacentral:rRNA from 1 species